UUCUUCCGGCCACAAACGACUCUACUCCGAACUUCUUCCGAACUUCAUCAAUGUCCGAGCCUCUCUGACAAUGGGAUUUCUACAGUAACCAGACUCCAUCCAAGUUUUUUCGAUGGUCGACCACCUUCCGGAUUCCAUCCGAGCUGCUACGAGAAUCGGAUUUCAACCAAACUCCUACAGUGGAUGGAUCCCAGACAAAUUUCGACAAUGAAAGGGC
rnacentral:lncRNA from 1 species